AUGGCUUCUGGUCGUACGUCGUCGGCAUAUUUGCAUAAAAGUCCUUCUGUUUCUGAGAAUUCAACCCGCAGUCCUAAUUUUAAGUGGGUAUCUAUAAAACGAUUAGUUUUUACAAAAACGACCCCGCAUUUGUUUCUAUUCAACCCGCAGUCCUUUUUGGAGCAGAAACGCGUGCGCCGGAGCCAGGGAGCUCGGCUCCGCGCCACGCGCUCGCCCCGACCCCGCCUUCCUCCGCCGCCUCGCCACGCGCUCGCCCCGACCCCGCCUUCCUCCGCCGCCUCGCCACGCCGGCCGGCCUCACCGGAGAUCACCGCCGCCGCGACCAGGUCACGUGGCCGCCCCUGCCUUCUCCUCCUCCCUCACCUUCCUCCCUCCCUCUCACCAUCUCUCUCCCCCUCUCAUUGCAGUGCCACCAUGGCCGCCCCGAGCUUCGCCGGCAGCCGCGCCGCCCGCCUCCGGCCACGACUCCGACGGGAUCCGGCCGCCACUGCCCGGAUCCGCAUCCUCUGCUCCGCCGCGCCCCGGAUCCGGCCACCACCAAGCCUCCGAUUCAUAAAUAGUCCUCGCUCCUUUGCAUAG
rnacentral:rRNA from 1 species